AAUAAAUCGCUGAAGCGCGCACUAAUUCUGGUGGUUAGCUUGUGGCUAAUGGAUAAUCAAAUCAAUUCAUGUUGACGCAGCAAUGCCAGGUUAACGCGCCCCUAGCAGGUUAGCCGCAAGCUAACCACCAGAAUUAGUGCGCGCUUCAGCGAUUU
rnacentral:pre_miRNA from 1 species